GCACAAGCAGCGGAGCGUGUGGUUUAAUUCGAUGCAACCCGAAGAACCUUACCUGGGCUUGACAUUAUGGGAAAAGCCGUAGAGAUACGGUGUGCAUUAGCGUCCAUAACAGGUGGUGCAUGGCUGUCGUCAGCUCGUGUCGUGAGAUGUUCGGUUAAGUCCGCUAACGAGCGCAACCCUCGCUGUAUGUUACAUGCGUCAUACAGGACCGCCGGUAUCAAGCCGGAGGAAGGUGGGGAUGACGUCAAGUCCGCAUGGCCUUUAUGUCCGGGGCUACACACACGCUACAAUGGUCGGUACAAUGGGUUGCUAAGCCGCGAGGUGGAGCCAAUCCCCCAAAGCCGGCCUCAGUUCAGAUUGCAGGCUGCAACUCGCCUGCAUGAAGCUGGAGUUGCUAGUAGACGCGCGUCAGCUAUAGUGCGUUGAAUACGUUCUCGGGCCUU
rnacentral:rRNA from 1 species